GCUGUGUAGCGCAGAGGUUAAGGUGCUGGGCUCAUAACCCAAGGGUUGCUGGUUCGAUUCCACUACGGGGCA